AACGAACGCUGGCGGCAUGCCUAACACAUGCAAGUCGAACGAAGCCUUCGGGCUUAGUGGCGCACGGGUGCGUAACGCGUGGGAAUCUGCCCUUGGGUUCGGAAUAACAGUUAGAAAUGACUGCUAAUACCGGAUGAUGUCUUCGGACCAAAGAUUUAUCGCCCAAGGAUGAGCCCGCGUAGGAUUAGGUAGUUGGUGGGGUAAUGGCCCACCAAGCCGACGAUCCUCAGCUGGUCUGAGAGGAUGAUCAGCCACACGGGGGCUGAGACACGGCCCAGGCUCCUACGGGACGCAUCAGUGGGGAAUAUUGGACAAUGGGCGAAAGCCUGAUCCAGCAAUGCCGCGUGAGUGAUGAAGGCCUUAGGGUUGUAAAGCUCUUUUACCAGGGAUGAUAAUGACAGUACCUGGAGAAUAAGCUCCGGCUAACUCCGUGCCAGCCGCCGCGGUAA
rnacentral:rRNA from 1 species